rnacentral:rRNA from 1 species
GGGGAAUAUUGCACAAUGGGGGAAACCCUGAUGCAGCGACGCCGCGUGGAGGAAGAAGGUCUUCGGAUUGUAAACUCCUGUUGUUGGGGAAGAUAAUGACGGUACCCAACAAGGAAGUGACGGCUAACUACGUGCCAGCAGCCGCGGUAAAACGUAGGUCACAAGCGUUGUCCGGAAUUACUGGGUGUAAAGGGAGCGCAGGCGGGAAGACAAGUUGGAAGUGAAAUCUAUGGGCUCAACCCAUAAACUGCUUUCAAAACUGUUUUUCUUGAGUAGUGCAGAGGUAGGCGGAAUUCCCGGUGUAGCGGUGGAAUGCGUAGAUAUCGGGAGGAACACCAGUGGCGAAGGCGGCCUACUGGGCACCAACUGACGCUGAGGCUCGAAAGUGUGGGUAGCAAACAGGAUUAGAUACCCUGGUAGUCCACACCGUAAACGAUGAUUACUAGGUGUUGGAGGAUUGACCCCCUCAGUGCCGCAGUUAACACAAUAAGUAAUCCACCUGGGGAGUACGACCGCAAGGUUGAAACUCAAAGGAAUUGACGGGGGCCCGCACAAGCAGUGGAGUAUGUGGUUUAAUUCGACGCAACGCGAAGAACCUUACCAAGUCUUGACAUCCCUUGACAGACAUAGAAAUAUGUAAUCUCUUCGGAGCAAGGAGACAGGUGGUGCAUGGUUGUCGUCAGCUCGUGUCGUGAGAUGUUGGGUUAAGUCCCGCAACGAGCGCAACCCUUAUGGUCAGUUACUACGCAAGAGGACUCUGGCCAGACUGCCGUUGACAAAACGGAGGAAGGUGGGGAUGACGUCAAAUCAUCAUGCCCUUUAUGACUUGGGCUACACACGUACUACAAUGGCGUUAAACAAAGAGAAGCAAGACCGCGAGGUGGAGCAAAACUCAGAAACAACGUCCCAGUUCGGACUGCAGGCUGCAACUCGCCUGCACGAAGUCGGAAUUGCUAGUAAUCGUGGAUCAGCAUGCCACGGUGAAUACGUUCCCG